rnacentral:snoRNA from 1 species
UGUGCAAGUGAUGAUAAAAUAGACAGGGACAUCAGCACUCUAUAAGAGUAUGAUGAAGUAUGAUGACAUGUCUUUGGGAAUCUCUCUGAUGCACA